GACAUUACCCAUACAGUUAGCUGGAAGGCAAGUCUACAUUGAGGAAAGUAGAUCAAUCAGCAAUGGUGUUUCUCGUGGAGGUAGUCUGUACCUUAAAAUUAAUUUCAAUUUCACAUUGCGCCUGCGGUACUUAUAUCUCUUUAUGCUUUUCUUAGAGAUUUGUUCUACCUUUUGCUUGCUUGAGUAGUUCUUUGGUUGAACCAAUUACCAUUAUCCUUGUAUGCGGGAUAUAAUAUCUUGGUCAUGAGUUAGCCUGUGUACGAAGAUUUCCUGUUUCAUUUGGAUUGAUAUGACAGUACUUCACCUCCCAAAUAUGUUUGUUUGGUUAUCAACUAACUGGAGGUACUGUGGAUUUUCCAUUUUAUUGGCUUGCGAGUUUUUUUAUUGUAUAAAAGGGAAAUCUUAUUAAGAUACUAAGUACCAGUACAAUGCUUGAUCUUUCUAGGGUACAUAGUUCCUUUUAAGAUCAGUUUCAAAGUUAAGCUUCGCAAAAACAGGAGGUACAACAUGAAACGCAAAAAAAAAAAAAAAAAAAAAAAAAUCGUUGAAUUGCAUCUUCCUUUCUUCCUUCCUUAGCUACGCAGACUGCUACCUUGUUUGCUUCUGUGUAAAUAUGCCAUACCUGAAAUCCUCCUAGCCUAGAUAGUAGGAACCUGCAGUCAUCAAUCAGAUUAGUAUAACAAGUAUUACCUUCUUUUAUCAUGUCAAUCACUUCUCUGGAGUCAUGUUUCAGUUUGUAGCCGAUGGAAUUGAUGCCUUAAUGCUAUUUCUUGACCUUCUCUUAGAGCUCUUAAUUUUGCAUGUGUAUUUGUUAUGUUCUUUUUUCUUAUGGUUAUUUGUUAUGUAGGAGAUAGAUUUGGAUUAUCCCAAAAGCCAGCUACCAUUACUGUUUCUGAAUACACCACUCAAACCCCCUCUGCCUUAGAAGCCCCGUCAAUAUUAAGUUUAAUCCAGCCUGUAUCUGGAGGUUGCCACCUUAUUUGUUUUAAGAUUGUAGUCCUUAGAAGUAUUAUUUCCUAUUAAGGCUCAAAAAAAGUCAGGCUCUUGAUAAAACGUGGUUUGUGAGUUACUUUAGUACUACUCUACAUGUGUUUGCUGGAUUUAUGAAGAAUUCAAACUUAUCAAAGAAAAAGAAGAGAAGAUUUCAAUGAUUACGAGCAGAGCACCAUCAAAGAAUAUUUUAGUAACUGCACUAUCUGCUGCUUUUUGCAUGCAUGUUUUGACCCUCUGUUUAACAUAUUCUUCCACAACUGCCUUGAUCAGGAAGGCAAAGAGGUAAAGGAGGAUGUUCCAGGAUUGAAAUUUUCAGAGGGGAAGCAAUCAAGGCAAUGGUUUUCGUGGCACAUCAUAAUAUAAGAGUAUGACUUACCAACCUGAAAAACUAAAUUUUGGCAGGGGAUGAUAAGGAAUGUGGCUCAGUGUUCUUUCUUUCUGAUGGUAUGGUCUUCUCAUGGAAGGAAUUAGAUAAAUCUCAGUGUUUUUUUAUUGGGCACCGAAUGCAUCCAGAAUAAAUUUUUGCUCUUUCUCCUAUAGUCACAGUUAACGCUAAUUUCUUCUUACAAUAUGGUACUACAAUCCAAGAUGAAAUACUGUUAUUUUGAUUGUUCAAUGCAAGCUUUUCAGAAUGUGUUGAGCAAAGCUAAAUGGUAUGGUGGUGAUAUCAAGCGGCUUCCUCGUAAUCCAUGCCCCCCAAUUCUCCUGAUUGUAAUAUGGUAUUAAACAUGUAAGCUUUGCAAGCAAUGAAAGUGGCGAGGAAAUUGUCAAUAUAAUCGCUUAGCACAAUUGGAGUUUGAAGAGUGCUUCUGUUUCACCAUUCACAGGGUUAGUCAGUCAACCACGACAGCAGAAGAAAUACAGAAGUCCUGUGCAUCAGUUUUAUUACUACCUUAGAGGCUAAAUUACAGGUUCUUCCUAAUUGCUCACUAAGCUUCAGCUAAUACUGCUGUUAAAUAUUUGAAUGAACAAUGAUUUUCUUUCAAGUCAAGCAGUUAUAGAGGUUGUAGCUACGG
rnacentral:lncRNA from 1 species